rnacentral:rRNA from 1 species
CCUAGGGCCGCAGCAGUGAGGAAUAUUGCACAAUGGGGGGAACCCUGAUGCAGCAACGCCGCGUGGAGGAUGACGCAUUUCGGUGUGUAAACUCCUUUUAUAUGUCAAGAAAAUGACGGUAGCAUAUGAAUAAGCACCGGCUAACUCCGUGCCAGCAGCCGCGGUAAUACGGAGGGUGCAAGCGUUACUCGGAAUCACUGGGCGUAAAGGACGCGUAGGCGGGUUGGAAAGUCAGGUGUGAAAUCCUACAGCUUAACUGUAGAACUGCACUUGAAACUUCUAAUCUAGAGUAUGGGAGGGGGAGAUGGAAUUAGUGGUGUAGGGGUAAUAUCCGUAGAUAUCACUAGGAAUACCUAAAGCGAAGGCGAUCUCCUGGAACAUUACUGACGCUAAGGCGUGAAAGCGUGGGGAGCAAACAGGAUUAGAUACCCCAGUAGUC